rnacentral:tRNA from 1 species
GGUCUAAUGGUGGAACUGGAAUACACAAGGGACUUAAAAUCCCUCGCCCUUUAGGGAUUGAGGGUUCAAAUCCCUCUUAGACUA